AGCAGCAGCAGAGUCAACAGAGGACAAGAAGCCAGAGUAGAGUAACAGUAGCAGCAGCAGAGUCAACAGAGGACAAGAAGCCAGAUAACAGUAACAGCAGCAGAGUCAACAGAGGACAAGAAGCCAGAGUAGUAACACAGCAGCAGAGUCAACAGAGGACAAGAAGCCAGAGUAGAGUAACAGUAGCAGCAGCAGAGUCAACAGAGGACAAGAAGCCAGAGUAGAGUAACAGUAGCAGCAGCAGAGUCAACAGAGGACAAGAAGCCAGCAUAGAGUAACAGUAGCAGAGUCAACAGAGGACAAGAAGCCAGAGUAGAGUAACAGUAGCAGCAGCAGCAGAAGGAUGUGAGAUCAGACCCGGUCAGUUUAAUAGACCAACAGAAUAAGAUGGUGGUGAAUGAUACUAGUCUCUAAUUGGACACUCAGGUUUCCUUCCUGAACUGGCCUACUGUUCUUGUGUACUUAUCUGUUUACUAUCUGUAGAUUGUAUUGCUUGUCUUUUUCUAUGGAAUUUUGCCAAUUCCAGAUUUUUAAUAACAUAUUAAGUAUUGAUUUGUCUUAAUGACACAAAAAUUAAUUAUAUUGACAAGAGUUUUAAAUAUUUGUAUCUCUGGAGUUCCUGAUGUGUUAAAAUAUGUUUUACUUUGUAUUGCUGUCAGUCAUUACUGGUCAUUUUAUAUUUUAUAUUAUGUAAUACCAUAUUGUUCAGUGUUAUGAUAUUGCUUGUUUUAUUUUCAAAUUAUUAAUGAUUCAUUAGUACAUUUAUUUGAGAUACAUUGAAUACAGUAUAAGCAUCAUGUUGUAAAUAAGCUCAAAUGUAGACAAUAAAUAGACAACAAAUAAAUUGAUUGUUUGACUAACAUGCAUUGAUUCAUAACUAAAUCCAUUCUGCUCGUUUCUUGUAUUUCUACCUAUUGGACACAUGAUGGAACCAUUGAACCACAUAGCUAGGCUAUAGGCAGGUCAGGGAUACUACAUUACUGUCAGGAGACACUGUCAUAGAUCAACACCAAGCACUGUUCAUCACCUCUCUCUCC
ensembl:lncRNA